rnacentral:rRNA from 1 species
AUUGAACGCUGGCGGCAUGCCUUACACAUGCAAGUCGAACGGCAGCGGGGGAGAAGCUUGCUUUUCCUGCCGGCGAGUGGCGAACGGGUGAGUAAUACAUCGGAACGUGCCCUGUAGUGGGGGAUAACUAGUCGAAAGAUUAGCUAAUACCGCAUACGACCUGAGGGUGAAAGUGGGGGACCGCAAGGCCUCAUGCUAUAGGAGCGGCCGAUGUCUGAUUAGCUAGUUGGUGGGGUAAAGGCCUACCAAGGCGACGAUCAGUAGCUGGUCUGGGAGGACGAUCAGCCCCACUGGGACUGAGACACGGCCAAGACUCCUACGGGAGGCAGCAGUGGGGAAUUUUGGAAAAUGGGCGAAAGCCUGAUCCAGCAAUGCCGCGUGUGUGAAGAAGGCCUUCGGGUUGUAAAGCACUUUUGUCCGGAAAGAAAUGGCUCUGGUUAAUACCUGGGGUCGAUGACGGUACCGGAAGAAUAAGGACCGGCUAACUACGUGCCAGCAGCCGCCGUAA